UACGGAGGGUGCGAGCGUUGUCCGGAAUCACUGGGCGUAAAGGGCGCGUAGGUGGCUCGUGAAGCGUGCGGUGAAAGUCCGAGGCUCAACCUCGGAUCGGCCGUGCGGACUCGCGGGCUCGAGCGUUGUAGAGGCGGGUGGAAUUCCGGGUGUAGCGGUGGAAUGCGUAGAGAUCGGAAGGAACACCAAUGGCGAAGGCAGCUUGCUGGGCCACACCUGACACUGAGGUACGAAAGCGUGGGGAGCGAACAGG
rnacentral:rRNA from 1 species